GAUCAUGACUCAGGACGAACGCUGGCGGCGCGCCUAACACAUGCAAGUCGAACGAGCGAGAGAGAGCUUGCUUUCUCGAGCGAGUGGCGAACGGGUGAGUAACGCGUGAGGAACCUGCCUCAAAGAGGGGGACAACAGUUGAAAACGACUGCUAAUACCGCAUAAGCCCACGGCUCGGCAUCGAGCAGAGGGAAAAGGAGCAAUCCGCUUUGAGAUGGCCUCGCGUCCGAUUAG
rnacentral:rRNA from 1 species